rnacentral:rRNA from 1 species
AGCGAACGCUGGCGGCAGGCUUAACACAUGCAAGUCGAGCGGGCAUCUUCGGAUGUCAGCGGCAGACGGGUGAGUAACACGUGGGAACGUACCCUUCGGUUCGGAACAACUCUGGGAAAAUUGAGCUAAUUCCGGAUAAGCCCUUAUGGGGAAAGGUUUACUGCCGAAGGAUCGGCCCGCGUCUGAUUAGCUAGUUGGUGGGGUAACGGCCUACCAAGGCGACGAUCAGUAGCUGGUCUGAGAGGAUGAUCAGCCACACUGGGACUGAGACACGGCCCAGACUCCUACGGGAGGCAGCAGUGGGGAAUAUUGGACAAUGGGCGCAAGCCUGAUCCAGCCAUGCCGCGUGAGUGAUGAAGGCCUUAGGGUUGUAAAGCUCUUUUGUCCGGGACGAUAAUGACGGUACCGGAAGAAUAAGCCCCGGCUAACUUCGU